AGAGUUUGAUCCUGGCUCAGGACGAACGCUGGCGGCGUGCUUAACACAUGCAAGUCACGGGGGCUCGCAAGAGCAACCGGCGAACGGGUGCGUAACACGUGAACAACCUGCCCUCGUGUGGGGGAUAGCCGGGCUAACGCCCGGGUAAUACCGCAUACGUUCCCUUGGGGGAGUCCCCGGGGGAGGAAAGCUCCGGCGCACGGGGAGGGGUUCGCGGCCUAUCAGCUAGUUGGCGGGGUAAUGGCCCACCAAGGCGACGACGGGUAGCUGGUCUGAGAGGAUGGCCAGCCACAUUGGGACUGAGAGACGGCCCAGACUCCUACGGGAGGCAGCAGUGGGGAAUCUUGCGCAAUGGUCGAAAGACUGACGCAGCGACGCCGCGUGUGGGAGGACGCCUUUCGGGGCGUAAACCACUGUUGCCCGGGACGAACGAGCGCUUUCGAGCGCUGUGACGGUACCGGGUGAGGAAGCACCGGCUAACUCCGUGCCAGCAGCCGCGGUA
rnacentral:rRNA from 1 species